rnacentral:piRNA from 1 species
UGGGAUAAAAGGUGUGUGCAGUGGCAUG